rnacentral:rRNA from 1 species
GCUUAGAGUUUGAUCCUGGCUCAGGAUGAACGCUGGCGGUCUGCUUAACACAUGCAAGUCGAACGGGCUCUUUCGAGAGCUAGUGGCGGACGGGUGAGUAACGCGUGAGAACCUGCCUUGAGGACGGGGACAACAGUUGGAAACGAUUGCUAAUACCCGAUAAACCAACCGGAGAAAGAUUUAUCGCCUCAAGAGGGGCUCGCGUCCGAUUAGCUAGUUGGUAGAGUAAAAGCCUACCAAGGCGACGAUCGGUAGCCGGUCUGAGAGGACGAUCGGCCACACUGGGACUGAGACACGGCCCAGACUCCUACGGGAGGCAGCAGUGGGGAAUUUUCCGCAAUGGGCGCAAGCCUGACGGAGCAAGACCGCGUGAGGGAAGAAGGCUCUUGGGUCGUAAACCUCUUUUCUCAAGGAAGAAACCUGACGGUACUUGAGGAAGAAGCCUCGGCUAACUCCGUGCCAGCAGCCGCGGUAAUACGGAGGAGGCAAGCGUUAUCCGGAAUUAUUGGGCGUAAAGCGUCCGUAGGUGGCUAGUCAAGUCUGCGGUCAAAGACUGGAGCUCAACUCCAGGAAGGCCGUGGAAACUGAAGAGCUAGAGUCCGGUAGGGGUAGAGGGAAUUCCCAGUGUAGCGGUGAAAUGCGUAGAGAUUGGGAAGAACACCGGUGGCGAAAGCGCUCUGCUGGACCGGAACUGACACUGAGGGACGAAAGCUAGGGGAGCGAAUGGGAUUAGAUACCCCAGUAGUC